AACAAGAUUACUCCGCCGGUCUCACAGAACUAACUAACUAACUUAGCGGCGAGGAGGGACGACGUCGGGGAACAAAAAAACGCUCGACGUCCCGGUCGAUGUCGUGGAGGGGGGGAGAAGACACGGGCUUCCCCCUUUUUUGUGUCUUGUUAUUAGGCGCUAAAUACGGUAAGAAAAAGAAAAAUGGGGAAGAAGCGCGGAUUUGGAUGUUGUUGUUUUGAUGUUCCACAUCCGUGACGUCACAUCCACCUGCCGUGUCAACUGAGUACUCAGGCCACGGGGGGCGCUGGUCGCUAUCUCAGCUAAAAUCGAGCGGAAGGCGGCGUACACCCUGAACAAGUCACCACCUCGUCACAGAGCUGCAAUCGGGCGGAAGACGGGGUACACCCUGGACAAUUCGCCAUCUCAUCGCAGAGUCUCCGUGCUGCUGUGUCGUGUGGAUUGAGGGCACAUCUUGAUUCGGGUGUACUUGCAAAUUAAUUGAGGAUCACUAUCAGUCAUGCCAUGGUCUCUCCAGGCAGCAGCUCGCAGACAACAAGUAAUUAGCUCUGGGUUAAUUGGCUGAUUAAACAAAUGAAUAGAAGCCGCUCUUGGUUUCGUCAGGGGUGGAAUGGCUUACACGCAGGGCUUUCUUCUCUGCACCGGAGAAAAAUGGGCAACGGAAUAAAGAAAUGCUCUCUCGCAGUGUAGACUACGGUGAGAAGAAUUCCUGUUUUGCCAGGCUAUUUACUUAUAGUCCCACAAUAGGAACGUUCACGUAGGCCAAUGGUCUGAUUAUGUUAGAUCCACUAUAGACUCUCACUAUUAUGUUGGAUCCAUUAUGGACUGGACUCUCACUAUUGUUAGAUCCACUAUGGACUGGACUCUUACUAUUACGUUAGAUCCACUAUGGACUGGACUCUCACUAAUAUGUUAGAUCCACUAUGGACUGGACUCUCACUAUUAGGUUAGAACCACUAUGGACUGGACUCUCACUAUUAUGUUAGAUCGACUAUGGACUCAACUCUCACUAUUGUGUUUGAUCCACUACAGACUAGACUCUCACUAUUACGUAAGAUCCACUAUGGACUGGAUUCUCACUAUUAUGUUACAUCCACUAUAGACUGGACUCUCACUAUGAUGUUAGAUCCACUAUGGACUGGACUCUCACUAUUAUGUUAGAUCCACUAUGGACUGGACUCUCAUUAUUACGUUAGAUCCUCUAUGGACUGGACUCUCACUAUUAUGUUAGAUCCACUAUGGACUGGACUCUUACUAUUAUGUUAGACCCACUAUGGACUGGACUCUCACUAUCAUGUUAGAUCAACUAUGGACUGGACUCUCACUAUUAUGUUAGAUCCACUAUGGACUGUACUCUCAUUAUUAUGUUAGAUCCACUAUGGACUGGACUCUCACUAUUAUGUUCAAUCCACUAUGGACUGGACUCUCACUCUUAUGUUUGAUCCACUAUGGACUGGACUCUCAUAAUUACGUUAGAACCACUAUGGACUGGACUCUCACUAUUAAGUUAGAUCCACUAUGGACUGGACUCUCACUAUUAUGUUAGAUCAACUAUGGACUGGACUCUCACUAUUACGUUAGAUCCACUAUGGACUGGACUCUCACUAUUACGUUAGAACCACUAUGGACUGGACUCUCACUAUUAUGUUAGAUCCACUAUGGACUGGACUUUCACUAUUACGUUAGAUCCACUAUGAACUGGACUUUCACUAUUACGUUAGAACCACUAUGAACUGGACUCUCAAUAUUAUGUUAGAUCCACUAUGGACUGGACUUUCACUAUUACGUUAGAACCACUAUGGACUGGACUCUCACUAUUAUGUUGGAUCCACUAUGGACUGGACUCGCAUUAUUACGUUAGAUCCACUAUGGACUGGACUCUCACUAUUGUUAGAUCCACUAUGGACUGGACUCUUACUAUUACGUUAGAUCCACUAUGGACUGGACUCUCAAUAUUAUGUUAGAUCCACUAUGGACUGGACUCUCACUAUUAUGUUAGAUCCACUAUGGACUGGACUCUCACUAAUAUGUUUGAUCCAGUAUGGACUGGACUCUCACAAUAUUAUGCUAGAUCCACUAUGGACUGGACUCCCACAAUAUUAUGCUAGAUCCACUAUGGACUAGACUCUCACUAUUACGUUAUAUCCACUAUGGACUGGACUCUCACUAUUAUGUUAAAUCCACUAUGGACUGGACUCUCACUAUUAUGGUAGAUCCACUAUGGACUAGACUCUCACUAUUACGUUAGAUCCACUAUGGACUGGACUCUCACUAUUAUUUUAAAUCCACUAUGGACUGGACUCUCACUAUUAUGUUAGAUCCACUAUGGACUGGACUCUCACUAUUAUGUUAGAUCCACUAUGGACUGGACUCUCACUAUUAUGUUAGAUCCACUAUGGACUGGACUCUCACUAUUAUGUUAGAUCCACUAUGGACUGGACUCUCACUAUUAUGUUAGAUCCACUAUGGACUGGACUCUCACUAUUAUGUUAGAUCCACUAUGGACUGGACUCUCACUAUUAUGUUAGAUCCACUAUGGACUGGACUCUCACUAUUAUGUUAGAUCCACUAUGGACUGGACUCUCACUAUUAUGUUAGAUCCACUAUGGGCUUUCUAUGGCUCGUUUGGCUCCGGUGCCACUUCCCGUUUUCGCAACUUGUGAUUGGAUACUCACUUGGGACUCCCAAGUGAGUAACCAAUCACCUUAAUGACAACAACUCAUGACCUGAUUGGCUAUGGCAAUUAUCUAUCAACUGUAUGUGCCCGUUCACUUAGUCCACGGACACAUACCGCAUUGUUGAUUCCGAAGGCCCCCGGGCAGAUUUGGUACAGCAUGGCAACAGAAGCGAGCUGAAUUCUGAUUGGAUUAAAAACUCUAACCUAUAAACAACAGCACUGGAAGGAGCAUAAUAUGACAUGAAGAGAAUAUGAAUACUUUUAGAUAUUUAGGGAUAGUAGAUAAAAGAAUACUUUUAUCUUUAAUCACACCACUGCCUAUUUGAAACACUAUUUUAGCAGGUUCCUUUUAUAUUGUUUUAAGUUGCUAAGCCUCCCAUUAUGUCUUCUGACAACACAUUAACUUCUAACCGAGCUAUGAACUGUCAUAAAAUGACAUUAUCACUCUAUAAACAGCUUCCUGGUUCCUUUCUAUUAUGUGCCUUCCUGUCAGCUGUUAUCACCGUUCUGUUUAGUUUCAUUAUACUGUAGUCAGCUUCUCAGAAUGUUAAAAUGUAACGUAUGGCCUGGAUAAAUGACGGCAAACUUUUAUCCCUGGAUCAAAUUCACUGUAGGCGAUUUGAGAAAAAUUGUGUUUGACAUUUGAACUUAGAAAUAAAGCAUCAUUAUUUAAU